rnacentral:rRNA from 1 species
AACGAACGCUGGCGGCGUGCCUAACACAUGCAAGUCGUGCGAGAAAGUUCCUUCGGGAGCGAGUAAAGCGGCGCACGGGUGAGUAACACGUAGGUAACCUGCCCCCAGUCUGGAACAACUAGAGGAAACUCUAGCUAAUGCCGGAUGAGACCACGAUCCCUUCGGGGGUUGCGGCCAAAGAUGGCCUCUACUUGUAAGCUAUCGCUGAGGGAUGGGCCUGCGGGCCAUUAGCUUGUUGGUGAGGUAACGGCUCACCAAGGCUGUGAUGGCUAGCUGGUCUGAGAGGAUGACCAGCCACACUGGGACUGAGACACGGCCCAGACUCCUACGGGAGGCAGCAGUGGGGAAUAUUGCGCAAUGGGCGAAAGCCUGACGCAGCGACGCCGCGUGGGUGAUGGAAGGCCUUCGGUCGGUAACGGACCGUCGUCCGCGACGGGAAGGAAGUAAGACA